rnacentral:rRNA from 1 species
GACGAACGCUGGCGGCGUGCCUAAUACAUGCAAGUCGAACGCAGUGGCGAACGGGUGAGUAACACGUGGGAACCUGCCCAUCAGAAGGGGAUAACACUUGGAAACAGGUGCUAAUACCGUAUACUAUCAGAUGAGCCUAGGUCGGAUUAGCUAGUUGGUGGGGUAAAGGCCUACCAAGGCGACGAUCCGUAACUGGUCUGAGAGGAUGAUCAGUCACACUGGAACUGAGACACGGUCCAGACUCCUACGGGAGGCAGCAGUGGGGAAUAUUGCACAAUGGGCGCAAGCCUGAUGCAGCCAUGCCGCGUGUAUGAAGAAGGCCUUCGGGUUGUAAAGUACUUUCAGCGGGGAGGCGUUACCCGCAGAAGAAGCACCGGCUAACUCCGUGCCAGCCGCCGCGGUAAUAC